rnacentral:lncRNA from 1 species
CUAUCGUACAUAUUUAAUUAUAAUUUAAAAAGUCUAACUCAGACACAAUCUCUGGCCAGUAGCGAAGUAUCAACACAUUACUGAAGUAAAGAUCUGUUAUUAUCACUUCACUGUAACAAACAGAAAUCAGCAUCUCGAGAAGGGUCUCCAGGGGUAUCAUAUCACAACCAAUCGCACCAAAUAAAAAAAUAUGCUAAUUUCACAAAUGGAGUUUGACAAGAAGUAACAUCGCAUUUGUCUUGGCGAAACAAAGCACGAACGUAACAUUUCACAGGUAUAGUUACCAUGCAAAUGCAUGUUGAGUUUGUCAUUGUUUUCAACCCCAAAUCACGAGUAGCAUGCAGUUCUCCUGCCCCCCCCCCACUGUAUUAGAGAUAGUCUGGGUAAUGUACCUCUUUGGUGUAACCAUAGCCUGUUAGGCAAGAUUAUACCACCCUAGGAAAGAAUACAAGCAAAACUUGAUCAUAUGUAUGUUUACACAAUGUACAUUUUACCAUUUAAAAAACCAAAACAUGUUACAUAGAUCCUCAAACACAGCUCUGUUGAAAAUGAAAUUUUAAGCUUAAGAAAUCAUUUUUAAACUACAAGGCCACCCCGUUAUUUUUUAUGAACAAUUUAAAAAGUUCCCACCCCUAAAAAUCUGUCAGCAUAUUUCCUCAGCUGUAACAGUCUUACCCACUCUCUAAUACAGUUGAUCUUUGCUCGACAGCAAUAACAGUUCUUACAUUUCUUAAAUGCAUGAGAUAAUGGACUCCAGGAUAGAUAUAGUUCUUAAAUGUGUAACACAGGAACAAAUUUGCCUUAAAUGAUCAAUUGGUCAAUUCGGGUGUUCCCUGGCACCACUGCUCAGUCAGGGGCUUCUGCUGUUCACUGAGUUCUGGCUUUUGUUGGCAUCAAGCUCCACGACCACAUGUGUGUGUGUUUGUGUGUUCAGAAUUUGAGUACAACAGCAAUUCACUGGAUACUCUGGUACCCUGUUUGCUCAAAAACAUGGAGGAGCUUCGUAUUCCGCAUUCCCUCAUCCAGACGGGGCCGCAGCCCCAGCGCAGCACCUUUGGCCAACACGGAACUAUUUGGAUGCAAAGUAGAAUUUUU